CACAAACACAAUGAGUAUAUUAUGAAUAAUCCAUUCCUCGCAUAUUGUAUAAUUAGUAGAAACUUACAAUCGCAGGCAUGAAAUAACAUAAACAAAUAGAGCAACACCAUUCAGGUUUGGAAGUGAGACUUUCAUGUCUAUUGUGAGAAAUAAAAAGCCUAUUUUCACGAAUUUACACAAACCGGAUUCAAACAAAAACAAAUGAAAUAAGUGAUAUGAUGAAGAAGCGUGGCAUCAGAUUGGAGGACAUCAAUAAGGAUUGUUCCUGUGAGGAGUUUGAGGGGCAGAGCGAGGAGGAUUGAGGAGAGGCUGAAGAGCCUUCACCACUAUGCUCAUGUUUGGCCUGAAGUCUGCUUCGUAUUGCACACAUAACGCAGCUACAGCAGCCAGCUGAUCAAUACGACAAUAUCAUACAAGAGAGAAACCCAAAAUCAAACUCAAAAAAUUCAGACAUCAAUGCUUAGGUUCUAUAGAUAUCAGAAGAGAUCUUGUCUUUCAAUCUAGGCCUACAAUAGCUGUUGUUGCUUAUUGCGGGGAUGGAGAAGCAGUUUCUAAGUUAUGUCCUAAGGUAAAUCUUCUCUACUGAAACAAUGACAUUAUGACAAAAGGUUACCUUGGCAACAGCUUUGGGAGGAUAUUCUCCGUUUAGUCUUGCAUCAACGCAUUGCUUCACCUUGUCUUCACUCAGUUUAGGAGUUGCCUGCGACACACAUUAUGAUGAUCAAUAUGAGUAAACCAGAAAAAAGAAGAAGAGUUAAACUAAGCAUUACCCAUGUAACGAGACUCUGCUGUCCUCGUGGUAAGGUAUGAUCAACUGGCUUACGACCUGUAAGGAGCUCUAGCAGAACAACUCCAAAACUAUAGACAUCACUCUUUGUGCUCAAUGUCCCUGUCAUUGCAUACCUGAAAAUGCAGAACCAAAAAAAAAUCUUUGUGUUUAAGACUCUAGUAUGGUCAAUUAGAAGAGAUGCAAUGCAAAAUAAUGUCAAAGAUUAUUCCAAGGAAGGACUUAGUGCCUCAAAACAUAAGAUAAUAAUAACCAAAAGUCUCUGAGCACAAGUUGAAUGUAACCACAUUGAUUAGUCUGAACAAAAACAAUUCAAAUAAACAAGUAAAGGGCUUACUCUGGAGCGUGAUAACCAAACGUUCCCAGCACACGAGUUGAGUGAAGGCGAGCAGCCAUGUCAGGGGCUUGGUUGGAGAGAUCAAAAUCAGCAAUCUUGGCAACCACUUCAUCCAACUCCUCCCCAUAACCGAAACCCCUCGCCAUCAAGAUGAAAUCAAAGACAUAAGCGUUGAUCACGUCUCAUCACACAACAACAAUGGCACACCUCUAGAUGAGAAGUUCAGCGAGAGAAACAUUGAAAAUGGUGAUAAUAAUAACUAUGAGAAACAUGUUCCUACUUCAGAAACAACUCAUUCUCCUCAUCUCUCUGGUCUUCAAGAAGGCUCUCACAUUGGUUGGGGUCACUGGUUCACUCUCCGCGACCUUCAGCUGGCGACUAACCACUUCUCAAAAGAGAAUAUCAUCGGUGACGGUGGCUAUGGAGUUGUCUACCAUGGAACUUUAACUAACAAGACCCCUGUGGCUGUCAAGAAGCUGCUCAACAAUCCGUAAGUUUCUUUUUAUCUCUUCAAAUGCUCAUAUGAUCUUUGAGUUUGAUAUGAUUGUUUUUUUUUUAACAAUUAGAGGACAAGUUGAUAAAGACUUCAGAGUUGAAGUGGAAGCAAUAGGACACGUCAGGCACAAGAACUUAGUUCGGCUUCUUGGAUACUGCGUUGAAGGAACGCAUAGGAUGCUUGUUUAUGAGUACAUGAACAAUGGGAACUUAGAGCAGUGGCUUCAUGGAGACAUGAGUCACCAAGGUCAUCUCACCUGGGAGGCUAGAAUCAAAGUUCUUGUUGGCACUGCUAAAGCGUAAGCUUCCUUUCUUUUUUGGAAAAAACACACUUGAUGGUUCUUGGAAGCUCAUGAGAAUGUGUUCAUUUACACAGGUUGGCUUACCUUCAUGAAGCUAUUGAGCCUAAAGUGGUGCAUAGAGACAUUAAGUCAAGUAAUAUACUGAUGAAUGACAGCUUUGAUGCUAAGUUAUCUGACUUUGGUCUUGCUAAGUUGCUUGGAGCUGAUAAGAAUUAUGUGAGUACUAGAGUCAUGGGUACAUUCGGGUGAGUUAUACAAACUUUACAUUUUCAUAAUCUCCAUUGGUUACUUUUAAUAAUUUUCUCUCUUCAUGUUUAGGUAUGUUGCACCUGAAUAUGCUAACUCUGGUCUCCUAAACGAGAAGAGUGACGUGUAUAGUUUUGGUGUUGUUCUAUUGGAAGCUAUUACUGGGAGGUACCCAGUGGAUUAUGAACGGCCUAAAGAAGAGGUAAAGGAAUAGAUUUAUAUGCUUGACACAAUGAAGAUUAAGAGAUUGAAAGUUGAUUUGUUUUUGUUAUAGGUGCAUAUGGUGGAGUGGUUGAAGCUAAUGGUACAGCAGAAACAGUUUGAACAAGUGGUGGAUAAAGAGCUUGAGAUCAAACCAACGACAAGCGAACUUAAAAGAGCGCUUUUGACGGCUUUGAGAUGUGUUGAUCCUGAUGCAGACAAGAGGCCGAAGAUGAGUCAAGUUGCUCGGAUGCUUGAAUCUGAUGAGUACCCUGUGAUGCCUAGAGAGGUAUGUAGAAUGAUAACAUUUCAAAGUUCAGAGUUCAGACAGGAAAGAAACAAAACUGGAGUGUUAAUAAUCUGUUUGAUGAAUGUUUUAUUAGGAACGAAGGAGAAGGAAGCAGCCAAGAGAAAGCACAGAUACGAAUAAGGAUGAUACCAUAGCAGAUGCAAAGAUUUAAGUAACAGACUAAAACAUCAAACCCUUUUAAUGACUUUGGGGUUUAAAAGAGGGAAACAUAUAGAUUCUUUGGAGAUUGUUUAGAAUCUUUACUGUUUAUAUGAGUUUAUUAUGUGAUAUGUAUAGCGAGAACAUCAAGAUUUGUUUCUCUUGUCUAGAGGAGGAGAGAUCUUUUGUAUAGCUUUGUUGUACCUUUUUUAUUACCUUCAUACUUUCAACAUAACUGUUAAGUUUCAAGCCACUUUCGUCGGGUCGGAUUGAUUUCAAUAUUCGGUUGGGCAGCCUGUGUUUAGGUUCCGGUAUCAUGUUGAGUUUCCAUAAAGUUCCAACUUAAAAUCAAUUGGCGAUAAAGUGAAUUAACACAGUUUAUGUAUAUAUUACUUAUGUCCUGUUGAUCAUAAAACUCCUUAUGUAGAAACUUAUAUACUCACAAUAACACAUAGACAUCAAGCUCGAGAGUAGUGGCAUGGACAUGGACUUUACACCAAAUGCUGUAACCUUGUCAGAGGAUCGAGUAUCUAAGUGAAAGCAACACAAGAUCUUCAGUUGAACAGAUGGAGAGAAUGUUCACUUCACCACCUAUGCAGCAAUAAUCCAUCUUCUAAGUUAUACAAAAUGGCACAAACACAAUGAGUAUAUUAUGAAUAAUCCAUUCCUCGCAUAUUGUAUAAUUAGUAGAAACUUACAAUCGCAGGCAUGAAAUAACAUAAACAAAUAGAGCAACACCAUUCAGGUUUGGAAGUGAGACUUUCAUGUCUAUUGUGAGAAAUAAAAAGCCUAUUUUCACGAAUUUACACAAACCGGAUUCAAACAAAAACAAAUGAAAUAAGUGAUAUGAUGAAGAAGCGUGGCAU
rnacentral:lncRNA from 1 species